AAGAGGAAGAAAGAACACACGAGAGUAUGUGUGAUACUACAGCAUCCGAGAUUUCCUUGAAACCAACAGACAUUGACAUUGAAGAUCUGCAUCGUGAGUUGUCUGCCGUUUCAAACGUGUGCUCGAAAGUUUCCAGUGUGAAGGUUGCUGAGAGAUUGAACUCUUGUGAUACCGUUGCUAAGCUCGUGCCAUCACCUUUGACAUCACCACUCCUAUCAUUACCAAGGCCACAUCUACCGUCGCUGUCGCCAACACCAAGAAUAUUGCCUCCAAGUGAUCCACUGCCAUCAACAUCACUGGCACCAGAUGAUCGAGUGAACAGUCAUGGAGAUUCUCCUGACUUGAAGACUCUCUUGGCCAGUUUACAGAAUGUUCCAAAGACUGAUGUCACUCAAUCCAAAACUUGUCAACAGUAUUGAGCAGGUUGUUUCCCAGCACCUGUCACCAGCCCUUGACAGAAAAACAUUUGUAGAAAAAUUCCAAAAUGUACAAAAACAUCUCAGGGCUUCAAGGGCGAAAACAAAUAUCUGUAACUAAAGUAUUUCUGAGUAAGGCAUAACUUCUCUCUCUACCUCGUAAGUUUUUCAUUGACUGCUGGUGUAAUUAUUUCAUUGGAGUAAAUAUUUUAUCCUUGGUAUGUUCUAUUAAUUGAGGACUUACUCACUGUUAAUUAAUUUGGUUACCUGAUGACAAAUAUGUAAAAAAAGUGUUAUAGUAUGAUGUUAAACGACUUCGAAAGUGGUAAAGUAAACUGGGCCUUCAGACUACAGCAUCUUCUGAAUGAAAAUGUUUUGGUUCCUUAUGAACAAGGGUGGCAUUAUGCUUUAUGCAA